CAUCUUUCUUUUCUUGUUCUUCAGGUUCAUCAAUCUCGAAAUUAUACUUCUUCGUCUGUCUUUCUACAUUAUCUUCUUUUUCAGAUGGUUCCACUUCAUCUAUUCUUCUUUUGUGAGUAUCAUUUAUCUUAAUACCUUCUUCUCCCAUAAUUGUCAAUUUCCUUAGGUUGUGUUACGGUUUUGCGAAGUUCCGGUUUGUGGUGCAGUGGACACAUACACAUUUUAGCUAAAUUACAAUACAUACGAUUUUUAUGCUGACCAUAAAAAAAUUGUUGAACGCUACAAAGACUUAAAACUCAUUAUUAUUUUUUCAUUUAAAUCUACAGCAGUAUAUAAGAUAAGAUGGAAAUACUUUUCUAAUGUGAUCUAAAAUAGUUUAUUCUAAGUAUUGAAUUCGAUACAGUUAAUAAC